rnacentral:rRNA from 1 species
GGACUACUGGGGUUUCUAAUCCUGUUCGCUCCCCACGCUUUCGCUCCUCAGCGUCAGUAUCGGCCCAGAGAUCCGCCUUCGCCACCGGUGUUCCUCCUGAUAUCUGCGCAUUUCACCGCUACACCAGGAAUUCCGAUCUCCCCUACCGAACUCUAGCCUGCCCGUAUCGACUGCAGACCCGGGGUUAAGCCCCGGGCUUUCACAACCGACGCGACAAGCCGCCUACGAGCUCUUUACGCCCAAUAAUUCCGGACAACGCUUGCGCCCUACGUAUUACCGCGGCUGCUGGCAC